rnacentral:rRNA from 1 species
GACGAACGCUGGCGGCGUGCUUAACACAUGCAAGUCGAACGAAGAGCGACGGAAGCUUGCUUCUUUCAAUCUUAGUGGCGAACGGGUGAGUAACGCGUAAUCAACCUUCCCUUCAGUGGGGGACAACAGGUGGAAACGACUUCUAAUACCGCAUACGAUCUAAUCUCGGCAUCGAGGAUGGAUGAAAGGUGGCCUCUACAUGUAAGCUAUCACUGAAGGUGGGUAGUGCGUUUGGUUAGCUAGGUGGUGGGGUAACGGCCCAUCAAGGCGAUGCUCCGUAGGCGGACUGGGAGGAUGAACGGCCCAAUUGGGACUGAGACAAGGCCCAGACUCCUACGGGAGGCAGCAGUGGGGAAACUUCCGCAAUGGACGAAAGUCUGACGGAGCAACGCCGCGGGAGUGAUGGAGGGCUUCGGGUUGGAAAGCUCCGUUAAUCGGGAAGAAAGGCCUUCUUGCGAAUAGGGAGAAGGAUUGACGGUACCGGAAUAGAAAGCCACGGCUAACUACGUG